UACAGUCAAGAACAUCCUUUUAUUCAAUCAACUGUUUUUUUAUUAUUAUUAUGGAAAAGAAACUGUAAUUAACACAUGCAUUUCACCAUGGGCUCUGGGAGGUGUGUCUGAGGAUGGGACGGCUCUGACAGAGGGGAAGGAGGGGGAGGGGCACUUGUGGUGGGCGGGGUUAGUCUAGCUUGGGAGCUCAGUCACUAAAUCGCUAAACAGCAUCCUUAAAACAGUGAUAGAAACUGAGCGAGGAAAACGUAAAAGUGAAACAUGCUGACGGUUGGGCCACAGGGUCCGACUGGGCUCUUGAACGGUGCAGGCGUCGGAUACUGCAGACGCCCGCCUCUCGACUAAAGCGCGCACACGCUCACGCACACGCUCACGCACACACACACACGCGCACUCGCUCUGCUGUGUGACCUGUUUGUCUCUGAUAUGGCUUCUCAGCUAUGGCGCUUUCACUCGUCAAGGCUUCGCUGAUAAUACUGCUGCUGGCUUCAUUCGCUUAAUGCAAAAAAAAGACAUCUAAACGUUGCAUAUACUUUUUUUUUCUUCCUCGAUUUUGCUGGUGGAGCCUCACGGUGCUUACAUCUAAUGUUUACAGGAUUUGGAACCGCAUGGUGGAUAGUGAUGGAUCGAUAAGUCACAUUUUGUAAGGAUUGUGCUGAAUCUCAGUCUCUGUGCUGUGGCACCGCUCUGUUUUUAAGGUGCUUUGAGUCAUUUUUCAUGGUUUUUUCUUCUCUUUACAAGAGCUAUUCUCAUUCACUCGUUCUCAAGAUGCAUAACCAGGUCACGAUGCAUCGUCCAUCAAGACGAAAUAAUAAAAAAAUUUCAAAUUCAAUUACAAAACAGAAACAAGGAAACCUGCAAACGAACAAACCUGCCUGCGCUAGCAGUCCUGCUGGUCACCACCCUCGCCUAAAGCCCAGUAUCACAUUCCUCGUGCUUUUAUCCCUCCACCUUUCUUUCUUUUUCUCAUCCUGUGCCCUUGUCCUCAGCACAGCCCAGAGCCCUGUGGUGUAACUUGUUCACUUACAUUAGCUGUUUGAAUGGAGAAGCUGAAGAAGAUGGGUAUGGUAAUACAAUGUGAAGCGUACAGACAAGAAUAACAUGUGAGCUAACUGCAUUCUGCUCAGACAACAAAAGAAAAAAACCUUUGCGUAUUCUUCUUCUUUUUUUUUAACCCCGCCGUUCAGAGAAAAGGGAGAAAAGGAAGGAAGUGGGAGAAGGGUACGCGGCUACAGACUACUCCAGUGUCCAAGUUAGACAGACGACAAGAUACAGAGGAAGAGAAGCAAGACAGAAAAUAUUCUUUUUUUUUUUGUUUUUAGGUUUUGUCUUUUUUUUUUUUACGUCUUUUCUUAAUAAUUCAACAAUAAAAAGAGGAACUAAAUCACACCAAUUUCCUUUAGUACUAUGUAUACUGCUUGAAAAAGCUCUGAAGAAUAGGAAGAGAAAGAUACAGAAGAAGCAUGAAGGAGGGGACUUUUUUUGAGAUGGGCACUCAGGAUUACAAGAUGGAAUCUGUGAACAAAAGGCACUUUUUAGGGACAACCUUUAAAGAUGCUCUGAGUCUAUAACACUACAUCACCAAACAAAUAUUUAUAAUCAUUUACAGCGGGGAAGGGGAUUGGGGGAGGAUGGUGGUGUGUGUGUGUGUGUGUGUGUGCAUGUGUGUGUGGAGGGUUGGGAUAGGGGGGUAGGGUUCACAUUGUUGGUAAAUUGAUGACAGCACCCCCCCCCCCCAGCCAGACAGAGGCCGCUGAUUCCCUCUUUCUUUCUUUCUUUCUUUCUUUCUUUCUUGUUUAAACAAGUAGACAUUUACAUUAAAAAACCAAAAUAAAAGAAACAUUUUCUUUAAUUUCUAUGGACGUCAUCAUCGGUGGUUUGGACUGGGGAAUCCGUACUUGUGCAUCUCCCAAAAAUGGGGAAGAUCUUGUCUUUGUCCCACGCUAGAUGUGUUGGACAUAACAUGAUGGAGAAGAAAAGAAAGAAAAGAAACAAGAUCUGACGUGAUUUUCAUUUUUUCCCUGUUUGUUUGUCCUGCAGUGGCGAUAAAGUUCGGGGAGGAAAAAUGCCUUUUGUCCUACAAUGAACCUCUCACCCCCCCGCCC
ensembl:lncRNA